UUGCUUUGGCAGCAAGUAUACUAAAACUGGAAAGAUACAGAAUAGAUUAGCAUGGCCCCUGCACAAGGAUGACAUGUAAAUUUGUGAAGCAUUCCAUAUUUAA
rnacentral:snRNA from 1 species